rnacentral:tRNA from 1 species
CGGGUGUAGCUCAACGGUAGAGCGUCAGCCUUCCAAGCUGAUCACGAGGGUUCGACUCCCUUCACCC